rnacentral:rRNA from 1 species
UACGUAGGCGGUAUUGUAUGUCGGAUGUGAAAUCCCGGGGCUCAACCCCGGAACUGCGUCCGAAACUGCAAAACUAGAGUGCAGGAGGGGAGAGGUGAAUUCAUGGAGUAGCGGUGAAAUGCGUUGAUAUCAUGAAGAACACCGGCGGCGAAGGCGCCUCUCUGGAAUGCAACUGACGCUGAGGUACGAAAGCAUGGGGAGCAAACAGGAUUAGAUACCCUGGUAGUCC